rnacentral:rRNA from 1 species
GACGAACGCUGGCGGCGUGCCUAAUACAUGCAAGUCGAACGCAGGGGGGACGGGUGAGUAACACGUGGGUAACCUCCCAUCAGAGGGGAUAACACUUGGAAACAGGUGCUAAACCGAUACUGAUGGAUGGACCCGCGGUGCAUGAGCUAGUUGGUGAGGUAACGGCUCACCAAGGCCACGAUGCCUAGCCGACCUUAGAGGUUGAUCGGCCACACUGGGACUGAGACACGGCCCAGACUCCUACGGGAGGCAGCAGUAGGGAAUCUUCGGCAAUGGACGAAAGUCUGACCGAGCAAUGCCGCGUGAGUGAAGAAGGUUUUCGGAUCGUAAAGCUCUGUUGUUAGAGAAGCGGUAUCUAACCAGAAAGCCACGGCUAACUACGUGCCAGCCGCCGCGGUAAUUC